CUGCAUUAUCUAUAACGGAGAAGUCGUUGGAAGCCGGCGGAUGAACUGAUAGACGUUUGAAAAAACUAGUGAUACGGUGGGUACCUUUCAUCGUUGGCAGAACUGUUGGACAAUAAAGAGAGACAGGAAGAAACUAAAGCGAGACAGGGUCAAAAAUUCGUGUUGAGAGCGGCGGUGAUGUCGCGACUCCGGCGGUGAUGUCGCGAUUCCGGUAGAUCUGAGCAAUCCCCGAUACACAAAAUCGGAAUCUGAGUGGGACUUGUCUAGAUCUAUGAUGACUGCUUAGUUUGAAAGGCUAGAACUACGAUGGAAUUACGCCGGAGACGAUGAGUUCGGCUGACGGGAGAUGUAGGGUUUUUUACAGAAAAAAUGUGUCUUCGGUAAAAUAUAAAAAACAAAUUACAGUAAUUAAUAAAAGAAAAAACAAACAAAAAAAGUUAAUCGUUGGGUUUGUUGGGGUAACAAGCUUUCAUUAGUUGAAAGGGUAGUAAUGAAAUAUCACAUAAGAAAACGGUGCCUUGGACACAAACGGUGUCUUCCUGUUAUACAAAACACAUAAACGGUGUCUGCUUGCUAUAUUUUC
rnacentral:lncRNA from 1 species